rnacentral:rRNA from 1 species
UUACGGAGAGUUUGAUUCUGGCUCAGAACGAACGCUGGUAGCGUGGAUUAGGCAUGCAAGUCGAACGAGAAUUCGCUGCUUCAAGUCGCAAGGCAAGAAGCGGCGGAGGAGAGUGGCGAAAGGGUGAGGAACGCGUGGGCAAUCUGCCUCCAAGUUGAGUAUAACCCUUCGAAAGGAGGGCUAAUACUGAAUGUGAUCGCCGGCCGCAUGGCCGGUUGUUUAAAGACGGGGACCCGCAAGGGCCUGUUGCUUGGAGAGGAGCCCGCGUCCUAUCAGCUAGUUGGUGAGGUGACGGCUCACCAAGGCGAUGACGGGUAGCUGGUCUGAGAGGAUGGUCAGCCACACUGGGACUGAGACACUGCCCAGACUCCUACGGGAGGCUGCAGUCGAGGAUCAUUUGCAAUGGGCGCAAGCCUGACAAUGCGACGCUGCGUGGAGGAUGAAGGCCUUCGGGUUGUAAACUCCUGUCAUUUGGGAACAAACUCGGGAGGGGGAAUAUCCUUUCCGGGGUGAUAGUACCAGAAGAGGAAGUCACGGCUAACUCUGUGCCAGCAGCCGCGGUGAUACAGAGGUGGCAAGCGUUGUUCGGAUUUACUGGGCGUAAAGGGUGCGUAGGCGGUUUUGCGUGUCAGAUGUGAAAGUUCAUCGCUCAACGGUGAAAGUGCAUUUGAAACUGCAGGAC